AUUGAACGCUGGCGGCAUGCCUUACACAUGCAAGUCGAACGGCAGCAUGGAGAGCUUGCUCUCUGAUGGCGAGUGGCGAACGGGUGAGUAAAGCAUCGGAACGUACCGUGUAGUGGGGGAUAACGUAGCGAAAGUUACGCUAAUACCGCAUACGCACUGAGGUGGAAAGCAGGGGAUCGUAAGACCUUGCGCUAUACGAGCGGCCGAUGUCAGAUUAGCUAGUUGGUAGGGUAAAGGCCUACCAAGGCGACGAUCUGUAGCGGGUCUGAGAGGUUGAUCCGCCACACUGGGACUGAGACACGGCCCAGACUCCUACGGGAGGCUGCAGUGGGGAAUUUUGGACAAUGGGGGCAACCCUGAUCCAGCCAUGCCGCGUGAGUGAAGAAGGCCUUCGGGUUGUAAAGCUCUUUCGGCCGGGAAGAAAUCGCACAGGCUAAUACCCUGUGUGGAUGACGGUACCGGCAUAAGAAGCACCGGCUAACUACGUGCCAGCCGCCGCUGUAA
rnacentral:rRNA from 1 species